AAAAUUUUACUUUGAUGUCGACUAACCCUAGAAACACAACACACACACUCUCUCUCUUUCUUAGCCGCACGCCCAAUUCUUUGUUAUCUCUCCCUUCCAUUUCUCCCUGCCAUCGCUGGAGGCCACCAUUUCUGGCUAUCAAUUCACGACACCGCCACCACCAAUCGAACCAGCACCUCAAUACGAUCAAAACCCAAGCCCAGCAUCGCCAUGCACCGACUCUUGCCUCUGCACGCGACCCUCCAAUCCACGAUGCUGCUGCUCCCUUACCUUCGUCGAUUUUUGGCCGCCAUCUCGCAACACCUCCACCACCGCUUUGAUUCAUCUUCAAUUCUUCAAUCGCCUCAAACUCAAGUAGCAAAGCAGAUGUCCUUAAAGCUCAAGUAGAUUUCUGGAUUCGAUACUUCGAUUCCAGUUUUUGAUUUCAGAUUCUUCAAGCUGGGUUCGAUUUCGAAUUUCUGGGUAACUUGCUUGGUUCGGCUUUCUUCAAGCUUGGUUCGGAUUGCAUGAUUUGCAUCCCAUAGGACCAUUAUUUUAACAAUUUAAUUUGUCUCAUUUGGUAUUUCUUGUUAAUUGAAUCACUACUUCCUAAAACAAAGGAAUGCAUACAAUUAUCCCUGUUCUCUGUUCUCUCUUUCUCCGACACGGCCGCAUUGAUUUCUGAACUGCUGGUCAAUGUUACAAAGCAUGUUUUACAGCCAAAGUAUGAGAUACUUACGGCUGAAGAAAAGAAACAUCUGCUAAGGAAGUACAAGUUGGAAGACAAGAAGAUCGAGCAACCACUUAUGAGAAAUUUUGUAUCAAACUGCUCAAGGCUUUGAACUGAGAUGAUGGAAAUGAAAGGCAAUGUGCAGUCAUUGGGAGAUCAAGCUUGGAACACCAGCAAGUUGUAUUAUUAUUUAUCAUCAUGUAAACCUUAUGAAAUUAGAAAGCUUGUUAAGCUAAUGAAAUGGAUUAAUGCUUUAUGAAAUUGCCUUUGUUGGAUCUAUUGGAAUUUAUUAUGAAAGUUGCUUUUAGUAAAA